GUUUUUGAUGUUCCCCGAUGAAUCUCCGUUGAAGCCAACCGAAGCUUUGGGUUACAUUUUGCCGAGGCAAGGGAUUCUAACUGAAAU
rnacentral:misc_RNA from 1 species